UAGCUCACACGGGUAGAGCAUUGGGAUUACAACCCAAAGGUUGCGGGUUCAAAUCCCGC
rnacentral:tRNA from 1 species